CGGCAAGCCUAUCUCCAGACAAGCAUCGAGCCAAAAUAAUGUAGGGGGAUUGACCCCUGGGGGGGGUCCACGUAACUAAGCCACUCCCCGCACGAACACGGGGCACCCUGUACUGGACGCCCCCGAGCACCUUUCCCCCUGCCCCAACAGAUCACUGGAGGCACUCUAUCUUCCAGAGCACAAAGACAAUUCAUAUUAUGGUACACUCA